UAUUUUGAAUAUUUUGCAGAGUCCUUUCCAUUUCACGCCCCUCACUUUUCUCUGCACUCUCUCUCUUCCUUCCCUUUCCUCCUUCCUCUGUAAAAAUUGAACGGCGUAUAAAUCGGCGGAUGGAUGCAAUGAAAACUCGGCACAGGGAUUUGUUGGUGCUGCCUCGAAUGAGUAAUUGAGGAGAUGGAGAGUCAACCCGCACCUAGAAGCCUCUCACUAAACCUCCGCCGCCGUUCCUCUCAACAGCCAUCGCCGUCUUCAGGAGUUGAGGAGGUUAUUAGUGUAGACUUCGUUUUUCUCAAGGGUUGAUCUGCAAACUUAGUUGUUGCUUACUAACUUCUGGAGUCCUAGGUUUCCCAUGCUUCAAAUAAGUGAUAACAGUGUUCUUUGUUGCCCGAUUUCUUGAGCUAAGGAGAGAGAACUAUUCCGGUUUUGAAAAAUUAAUUGAAAAAGCCAUAGGGCCGAUCGACUGAAUGAGAGCUUUAUGAGUUGCAAUCUUGUUGAUAUUGGUGCAUAAAAAUGAUUUAGGCAAUAGGAAUAAAGGACUCAUAUCCAAAUUAUCACAUGCCUGACCCUGCAUAAACCACUAGUGAGCCAGUUUGAGCCCCAAAAGACUAAUUUCUUUGUUGAAAAUUUUGAUGUCCUUAUAUCAGCUUACUUAUUAUAUCCAUUUGUUGGCCUAUAUUUUCUUCCCUAGUCACUAACAUUAAAGUGCUAGCACAUUCUUGGGAGGGUAUUAUGGUGGCAAGAAAAAGAUGGAGGUUCUGGACCAUUCAUUAGGUGGUAUUACUGAGAUACAAAGUGAGUGAAAAACUGUCCCUUCAAACGAAAAUAGAAUAAAAAGGCAGCCUUUCAAGAGUAAAAAAAAGCCAAGGCUAAAAAAAAUGGCAGCCUUUCAUAAGUAAAAAAAAGCUAAGGCUAGAAAAAAAUAAAAAGGCAGCCUUUCAUAAGUAAAAAAAGCCAAGGCUAGAAAAAAAAAGGCAGCCUUUCAUGUCUAAAAAAAGCCAAGGCUAGAAAAAAACAACAAAAUAAAAAAGCAGCCUUUCUUGAGUAAAAAAAAAGCCAAGGCUCGAAAAAAAAUAUUGAGCGAAAAAAUAGAAAUGAUAAAAGAAUGCUCAAAAGAAUAAGUUGACAUAUGGUCGAAAAAUCUCAUGUUUGGGGUGUUGAGCUGUAAGAAAUUUGUACGCAGUGAGUGAGAUGUGAAAGACGUUGUGAUGGAUGUGCUAGUAUUUUAAGAAUGGUGGUAAGCUACUUAACCAAAUAUUAUCCCACCUUUACCAAAAGCCCCGUUACAUCCCAAUGAAUAAGACCUUUUGAUUUGUGCAUCAUAUUGACUUGUGAGCAAUGAAUUUUGCUUGAUUUUGGGAGAAAGAUCUUAUGUGCAUAAAAUAAAGAAUAGUCAGAAGAACUUCUCUUUAUGAAUUAGUGACGAUGGUUUGAGACUCCCAGGACACAACAUGAACUUAGAUUGAAGCAUGGGAUGCCUAGUUCUUAGGGAAUUAGUUCGUGUACAAUUCUUGUUCUAAAGUUUUACCCGCGAGUGAAUUCGGGGUUGGCCUAAUUUCCCUACUGAUUCAUAUGGUUUGGCGUGACUUGAGGCAGAGGAUUAUCUAAUAUAUCUUACAGUAUACAAUGGAAUGGAGGGUAGCGUAUUACUGCUCCAAGCCAAUUUUGACCACUUCGAUAUCAAGUGUCUCUCAGUUCAUACUAAAGCCAUCAAUGAAGGACUAUUGCAAAAUCUUUCUGAUGCUCUACGCUUGUCGGUACCUGAUAAAAUUGGAGUUAGUCUUGCUUUGUCUAAAUCUGAAGAUCACGAUACCAGGAUGUGUGGAAAGAAUUUUUGUUUGAGUCAGAUUAAAGUGCUGUGUGCCAAUCCUAUUGCAUUUGAGGCGACUGAGAUAAUUCAACAUAUUCUCGUGUUACUCUUAGUUGAUCUGAAGGCCUCUCUAAGCAUUCAGAUUCACCCUUGCAAAUGUUAUCUCUUGUGAAACUAAGGUGCUUUCCAUGAUAGUUCCUCGUGCAAAAAUAGACUUGAAUUUCUUAGUCAAUCUGAAGGCCGAGGCCCAACUAUGUGGAGAUCACUUCUUCAGCGCUGUUAAAAAUGCUCCGCACUGGUGGACGAGCAAGACCUGGGGGCCGCGGCCCGAUGGGGGCAAGUCGUGUGGCGGCAGGGGGAGACUUAGUUCUUAACUUAGAAGAAGCCGGGGAAAGGGAAUAGAUCAAGUUUCUGAAGGAUGUUCAGGACCUCUCUCCCAGUCACAUUCAACCUUUGGGUUCACUUUUGAAUAUCUUUUUGGAAGCUUGUCCCACUAUUUUAAAGGACUAUACCAUGGAGCCUGAUGAGAAACUUAUACUAAAUGCAGCACAUUUGAUGGUAGCAUUAAGAGGCCCUUGCAUCACAUUUAGGAACCUUUACUUGGUUUAGUAUCAAGCGAGCUCAGAAGGUCACUUCAGGGCUUGGCCGUAGCAAGUGAUUUUCUAGAGCAGUCAUUUCAGCUGGUAACUAAUGAUAAUAUCCUUUGCAUCAAUGGCUUGAUUUCCAUAAUAACCAUUAAGAUAAAAGAGGAAACACAAACAGAGUUGACACUGAUGAAUGGAAUCCAUCCACUGAUACACAUUUCCUCGAUUGAUAACCGCUCUGGAAAUGUUGUGAUACACCCAAAAUUUUAAAUAUUAAUCCAGCAGUUGUGUUAGUCUACGACAGUUUGAUCAACUAUCGCGGGACCAAAUUUUCUAUAGAUUGCAAACUUGAGUUUGCUCGCACUGCUUGCUCAUCUAAAUUCUGCUGCUGUGCUGCGCUAUAAGCAGAACUUGGUCCUUUUUUGAGAUUGCUACUUCAGUGUUGAUCAAGUUUCAGAGAUGUCCACUGUUCUUCAGCAGUGAGAUGUUAUAACUCGUAGGAUUUUUCCGCUAGUACACUUUGAGCUCACACAUAUUUAGGGACUAACCCCGGAGUUGUCUAGGUUCUCGCUUCCAGUAUAGGGGUGUGAUCCUGGUGCCCCCCCUUACUUGCUUUCUACGCAAACCAGUGAGUAUUAUAUCUCCCUUUACAUUUUCUUGUCAUGAGGUUAAUGUUUAGAAUAGUUUUGAGGUGUGGGUGUUUUGCGCGCAUUUUUCUUUUUGUGCUUGUAAUUUAUCCUUAUUGUGCGUGCAUGCAUGGUUUUCUCUCUAUUGAUUAUCACCUGACACUUUUUAUGGGUAAUUAGUAUAGAGUUAGUUUCUCUCAAGGGUUGCUUACUAACUUCUGGAGAACUAAGAUUCCCUAAUUUAAAACACCUAAUUUUUUUAAUAUUUUAACGAUAUGUGAAAAAGAAUUUGUGCUGCUGUUGUACAAGACCAAGUGAAUUUCUUAAAUUAUUUUAAUGAUAUGUGUAAAUGAAAUUGUGUUGCUACUUAUUACAGCAUUAAUACUAGCAGAUAGCUGAUAAAAUUUUUAGUAAAUUCUUGUGUUAAUUUAGUCCAUUGUGUAUGGGUUUGGAAUUAAUAUUGUUUCUACUUUGUCCUUGGUGCAUUUUAACCUUGUUUACAUGCAGUCCAAACCAUUUAUGGGAAAAUUGUUCAACUACUUUCUGUUAGCAGAAAGCACAGAGACAGUGUUGUGCCACUUUUUAUUAUGCUAGCCUUUAUGGUCCUCAAACUCCUGUAAACAACAUCAUUCCUUCAUUCCCUCCCGCUUUGGCUAGCUACUGAUGGAACCUUCUAGUUAUGCAAAGAACCUGGAAAUGCUGCACAUCCUACUAAUGCAAUUCUGUCUUUCGAGCAUCCUGGGACAAACCUUGAUAUUAGAAUGAGUUAUUUUGAUGAUACAAUCUCAUUUCUAUAUGUUUAAACAUAUGUGUGCCUGCUUUAGAUUAUGAAGCACAAGUCCGAAUAGCAGCUGCCGAAAAGGAGUUAAGGAGGAGCUAACUUGUAAAGGAGGCAAGAUGAGAGAAGAAAUGCCUAACCCCCAUCACCUAUUUCCCACGCAAACAAGGGAUUAUUUUGUUUCCCCUCACAUCCUGUCCUUCACAUAAAGGGCAAUGUUAAGAUUAAGAUAUAGGGCGAGUUUGUUUGUGUGCAUGCUUGAUUAUGUGGUUGUAAAUAAUUUGAUUACUUUCACUCUGAUUCGUUGAUUCUGAAGGGUCCUUUCAGUAGUGUUUGUAACAAUGCGAAAAUACUAACGAAAUGUGUUUUUAAAUGGCAGGGCUAUGCCACGGAGCCUGAUGAGAAACUUAUACGAAACGCAACACAUUUGAUGGUAGCAAGGUUGACAGGAAGUGUUGCUAAUUAACUUGUAGGAACCUUUACGUGGUUCUAUAUCAAGCCAACUCAGAAUGUCACUUCAGGGGCUUGGCUAUGCUAGUCGUCUUCUAGAGCUGUCAUUUCAGCAGGAAUCACAAACGGAGUUGACACCGAUGAAUGGAAUCCAUCCAUUGAUACACAACUUCCUCGAUUGAUAACCGCUCUGGAAAUGUUGUGGUUGAGUGUAAGGCUGCGUAGCAAGGAGAACUCAGUCCCGUGUUGAGAGUGCUACUUCAGUGUUGAUAAGUUAUAGAGAUGUCCUCUGAUCUUCAAAAGUGAGGCAAGAAUCGAUCCAUCCAGAGCUCAAAUGCAUUUCCAGAUUGCCCCUCCGCUUCAUUAGUAGGUGGACUUUCCUGGAAAUUUGCAUCUCUACUUCUGACUGAAUGAGUGUUAGCACUGGAAUUGGUGCUAUUCCCCACACACUUGAAAUUUGCUCUGACGAGAUGGAUCCUGUUGAAUCCCAGAUUCCUACAAGCGAUGGUCCACAAACUCUUGAAGAUGACAUAAUUCCUUCAUUCCUUCUUGCUUGGGCCAGCUACUAAUGGAACCUUCCAGUUACACAAAAGAACCUGGAAAUGCUACACAUCCACUAAUGCAACUGUCUUGCGAGCAUCCCGAGACAAAUGUCUCUGAGCCAUUUAUAACCUUUGGUGAUGCAUUGCGUAUGUACCAUACUAUCUCAUAGAAGGAUAAUAUUUCUGAUGAUGACUAUAUAAUUUCAUAAGCUGG